AUGUGGAUAUGAUCAGAUACCUGGUCCGUCCAAUCCUUUCUUAGAUGGAGUGCUUGCGCUCGGUAAGGGAAGGUCCAGCAUCGUAUCACAGCUAAGUAGUCAAGGUUUGGUGGGUACUAGGCCACUGCUUGAGUACACGUCGUGGUGGAUUUCUCUUCUUCGGUGAUGAUCUUUAUGACUCCUCCCGCAUCACAUGGAUGCCUAUGUCUCAUGAUUACUCAAAGCACUAUUCUCCUGGGACCGCAGAGCUCCUUUAUGCAGGGAAACCUACUGGACAGAAAUUAUGAAAGUGAUUGGAGACAUAUCGAUGCAGGACAAGAUGGUGAUCUACGACAAUGAGAGGCAAUUGCUGGGAUGUGAAUCUAAAGAUUGCAGUAGACCUCCAAGCCCAGAGCAUUCGCAGCAAUUGACAGGAAGCUCCUUGCCGUAUCUCUGUACUUCCAGAUCAGAAUCAUGGAAGCGUCGUGCAUCAAACCAAGCCUUCACCUAGGAAGCUCAUCAUUGCCAAGUCACUUGUAAAUAAGCCCUGAUUAAUGUUUUCCUUUGUCUUUACUGUACUGGAUGUUACAAAAUUGCUUACGGGUAUUACCCCAAGUGAACUCAAUUACAGCCAUUCUUAAUAAGUAUUGCCAUGUUGAGGAUCAGUAGAAACUGAUCCUUGUACAUACUUUACCUUCU